ensembl:lncRNA
AUGUUAUCUAAUGCUUUGCAUAGAGAAGAGACUGAAGCAGCAGCAUGCACGAGCACUGGGAGGAAACGUAUCAGAGAGCGAUUUCGUGCUACUUUGGCAGGACUCCUGGAGUUGGCGGUCCUGAGAGUCAGACACAAAAUAAUGGUGGAGACGGCCCUGGGAAAAACCAAAGUUGAUCCUAAAGAUUCAACGACGACGAUUAUCCAGCAGAGACAGCAUGAUUACUGGGUCGAUAAAGACUCAUUCAGACCAAAGCUCAAGCGCAGUUUUUCUGAAGAGGCUGUUCACGAGGCUAGAGGAUCCACAGGACUUUUGUCAUGUUCCAGACAUUCAUUUGAAGACCUGCUUCAUCAUCAGUGUCUGACAGAAAGAAGCUGGCAUGACCAAGAACUUCACUCGCACAUGGAAAGCCAGUCAAGGGCAAGCUCAGGUUUUUGUGACUUUGUGGAUGUUUUUACCCCUUCUGACUGUGAUGAAACCAUCAGCUCUCUCUCCACCUCUUUGGCCUCCUUGAAAUACAAGAACACUCUCGGAGAUGGAGAAUGUUUCAUGGUUGAGGAACCUCAGAGGAGCCGACACAUUUUAUUACAAGAGCACAGAGGAGUUCAUUCCAAUUUCUCAGAUGAGACGAUUCCUAAAGAUGGUUUCCGAUUUGUGGCGGAUCUGUUUCCAGACUCGCACUGGCUAGAUGUUUCAGACAUACUUCAACCCAAAGUUGUUUUGCAACCCACCUACCGUUCUGAUCUUCCAGGUCACCAGGGCAUGGAAGUGUAUCGCUAUCCCAGUCCACUGCAUGCUGUGGCCCUGCAAAGUCCACUAUAUGCACCAAAAAGCCCCCAGAACAACAGGGAAAAGAAUGGAAGAACCUCUACAAGCUCCUUACUGAGGCCAGGCUUGAAGGUUUCAGAACAUUCAUGCUGUCUUGCAAAAUCCACCUAUUUAUCAUCCAACUUACUAAAGAAACAUACCAAUUCUUUGGACAGGAACAUGCUCUUUGAGAAGCACAGACGUGAGGAGAUCAUUCUGAAACGAGCCAGAGGUCAAUGCCACAGUCAUAGCGCUGCACCAAGAGAUGGAGGAAUGACCUCACGGCCAAAGAGAAGCAUGCACCGCACCAGCUCCUUGCACAAAAACAAACCAUCCUUCUAUUCUUUUCAGUCCACGCAUCUGCAGAGAAACAGAGAAGAUGUGUGUGAGGCUGCAAUGAGCACAGCAUCCACCAUGCAAGCUAUGAAAAGGCUAAAUUUAUAA